UACUCGAGUGGCGAACGGGUGAGUAACACGUGGGUGAUCUGCCCUGCACUUCGGGAUAAGCCUGGGAAACUGGGUCUAAUACCGGAUAGGAGCCAUUUUUAGUGUGAUGGUUGGAAAGUUUUUUCGGUGUAGGAUGAGCUCGCGGCCUAUCAGCUUGAUGGUGGGGUAAUGGCCUACCAAGGCGGCGACGGGUAGCCGGCCUGAGAGGGUGGACGGCCACAUUGGGACUGAGAUACGGCCCAG
rnacentral:rRNA from 1 species